GGGCGUAAGGGCUCGCAGGCGGUUUCUUAAGUCUGAUGUGAAAGCCCCCGGCUCAACCGGGGAGGGUCAUUGGAAACUGGGAAACUUGAGUGCAGAAGAGGAGAGUGGAAUUCCACGUGUAGCGGUGAAAUGCGUAGAGAUGUGGAGGAACACCAGUGGCGAAGGCGACUCUCUGGUCUGUAACUGACGCUGAGGAGCGAAAGCGUGGGGAGCGAACAGGAUUAGAUACCCUGGUAGUCCACGCCGUAAACGAUGAGUGCUAAGUGUUAGGGGGUUUCCGCCCCUUAGUGCUGCAGCUAACGCAUUAAGCACUCCGCCUGGGGAGUACGGUCGCAAGACUGAAACUCAAAGGAAUUGACGGGGGCCCGCACAAGCGGUGGAGCAUGUGGUUUAAUUCGAAGCAACGCGAAGAACCUUACCAGGUCUUGACAUCCUCUGACAACCCUAGAGAUAGGGCUUUCCCUUCGGGGACAGAGUGACAGGUGGUGCAUGGUUGUCGUCAGCUCGUGUCGUGAGAUGUUGGGUUAAGUCCCGCAACGAGCGCAACCCUUGAUCUUAGUUGCCAGCAUUCAGUUGGGCACUCUAAGGUGACUGCCGGUGACA
rnacentral:rRNA from 1 species